AUCAACGCUGGCGGCGUGCCUCAGACAUGCAAGUCGAACGAUUAAAGCUCUCUUCGGAGAGUGUAUAGAGUGGCGCACGGGUGAGUAACACGUAAGUAAUCUACCCUCGAGUGGGGAAUAACAAUCGGAAACGAUUGCUAAUACCGCAUAAUGCAGCGGCACCGCAAGGUGACAGUUGUUAAAGGAGUAAUUCGCUUGAGGAGGAGCUUGCGGCAGAUUAGCUUGUUGGUAAGGUAACGGCUUACCAAGGCUACGAUCUGUAACCGGUCUUAGAGGACGGUCGGUCACACUGACACUGAAUAACGGGUCAGACUCCUACGGGAGGCAGCAGUCGGGAAUUUUGGGCAAUGGGCGAAAGCCUGACCCAGCAACGCCGCGUGAAGGAUGAAGUAUUUCGGUAUGUAAACUUCGAAAGAAUAGGAAGAAUUAAUGACGGUACUAUUUAUAAGGUCCGGCUAACUACGU
rnacentral:rRNA from 1 species